rnacentral:misc_RNA from 1 species
AACCUUAUGGACCUGCGGGCGUAUACCUGCGGAGGGAUCAUUACAGAGAUUGAUGCACCAAGUGCAUCACCUCCAACCCCUUGCGAAAACAACUAUCAUGUGUUGCUUUGGCAGUGUUUCCACUGCCAGAGGUUUACAUAAAAUCAGCUGUUUGGAUGUUGUCUGAGUAAACUAUAUGAAUUAUUUAAAACUUUCAACAACGGAUCU